rnacentral:rRNA from 1 species
ACGGGUGAAUAACACGUGGGUAACCUGCCCAUCCUAGGGGGAUAACCUUCGGAAACGGAUGCUAACACCGCAUAGGUCUUCUAGCCGCAUGGUUUGAAGAGGAGGUGAGGCUCCAUCUUCUGCAGAUGGAUGGACCCGCGGUGCAUUAUUGCGUUGGUGAGGUAUCGGCUCACCGGGGCCGUGAUGCCAAGCCGACCUGAAAGGGCGAUUGGCCUGUUGGAACUGACACAUUGGAACCCAAAUACAGGCCACACUCCUGGGCUUCUUUAUGGUGGAAUCUUCCAUGAGGACCAACGUCUGACUGAUGACGCCGCCUGAGUGAUGACUCCCUUCGGGUAGAAGAACUAUUGUUAUCGGGACGAAUUGCCUUCUUGCGAGUAGCUUACCGGAUAGACAGGGCCGGCUACGUGCCCGCCGGCUAACUACGUGUAAGUACCCAGCGUAAUCCGUAUGUGUUUAGCGUUGUCCGAACUCAUUCGGCUUGAUUAGCCUGAAGGCGGAUUGGUGGCUCUGCCUUAACACUCUUGGGCUUCGGCUCUGUGUUGAGUUCGAAACUGCAGAUCUAAAGUAUCUGAGUAGUGAGUAGAUGUCCUAAUAUAUGGGGGAACUCCGGAGGCCAUAGCGAGUAAUCUCCCUUGGUGAUGACUACUUUGUCUCAAAAGUAUGAAGACCUGAGGAGCAUAGAUACCGUGACAGACCCGCCCUGUAUACC